rnacentral:rRNA from 1 species
UACGUAGGGUCCGAGCGUUGUCCGGAAUUACUGGGCGUAAAGAGCUCGUAGGUGGUUUGUCGCGUUGUUCGUGAAAACUCACAGCUCAACUGUGGGCGUGCGGGCGAUACGGGCAGACUAGAGUACUGCAGGGGAGACUGGAAUUCUCGGUGUAGCGGUGAAAUGCGUAGAUAUCGAGAGGAGCACCUGCGGCGAAGGCGGGUUGCUGGGCUGACACUGACGCUGAGGCGCGAAAGCUAGGGGAGCGAACGGG